rnacentral:rRNA from 1 species
AUUGAACGCUGGCGGCAGGCCUAACACAUGCAAGUCGAGCGGAUGAAGGGAGCUUGCUCCUGGAUUCAGCGGCGGACGGGUGAGUAAUGCCUAGGAAUCUCCCUGGUAGUGGGGGAUAACGUCCGGAAACGGGCGCUAAUACCGCAUACGUCCUGAGGGAGAAAGUGGGGGAUCUUCGGACCUCCCGCUAUCAGAUGAGCCUAGGUCGGAUUAGCUAGUUGGUGGGGUAAAGGCCUACCAAGGCGACGAUCCGUAACUGGUCUGAGAGGAUGAUCAGUCACACUGGAACUGAGACACGGUCCAGACUCCUACGGGAGGCGGCAGUGGGGAAUAUUGGACAAUGGGCGAAAGCCUGAUCCAGCCAUGCCGCGUGUGUGAAGAAGGUCUUCGGAUUGUAAAGCACUUUAAGUUGGGAGGAAGGGCAGUAAGUUAAUACCUUGCUGUUUUGACGUUACCAACAGAAUAAGCACCGGCUAACUUCGUG